CACGUAGGGGCCAAGCGUUGUCCGGAUUUAUUGGGCGUAAAGAGCUCGUAGGCGGUUCGGUAAGUCGGGUGUGAAACCUCCAGGCUCAACCUGGAGACGCCACCCGAUACUGCUGUGACUGGAGUCCGGUAGGGGAGCGUGGAAUUCCUGGUGUAGCGGUGAAAUGCGUAGAUAUCAGGAGGAACACCGGUGGUGUAGACGGCUUUCUGGACCGUAACUGACGCUGAGACACGAAAGCGUGGGUAGCAAACAGG
rnacentral:rRNA from 1 species